AAAUGGAUCUACACAAAGUUGCUGAAGAAAGUGUACCAUCGACGCAGAUGCAAAGAAUUCAGUCACCAGGAAACCUGUGCAAAACGACGUGUGAAAUUACGAAUCUCGAUUUCGAGUGGACUAUUCAUAACGCAACGUUCUUCGAAAAUCUUGGCAAACAAAAUGGUUGUUGCUCGUCAGAGUUUCUAGCUGAAACAACACCUGAAGCUGAAUGGAGUCUUUCCUUUUGUGACAAGGGUCCAGACGUCACAAUCUACCUCUAUCAUUCCUCGCCGUACAUCAGAAUCGUCGAUUGUCCCAUCAAAAUCAAGAUUGCGAUUAAUGAAAAUGGUGAAAAAAUGUUCCAGCAAGACCAUCAUUUACCGACCAACACUCAGUUGCCGUGUACUGUAUUCCAAAUCCCCAAAAAAGUCCUGUCAAGUGAAUGUCUUACUACAGGUAAACUUACUUUUAAUUGUCAAAUUGAAAAAAUGGAUGCCGAUUCGCUGGAACAGGAUUUGUCUCAAGAGCCGUUCACCUCUAGCGAUCAGUUGUUUACUGUUCAAUUCGAAGAACUAUUUAACAGCAUGAAAUUUGCAGACGUAACGUUGAACGUUAACGGAUGCAUAUUUCAAGCUCACAAAACUAUUUUGGCAGUGAGAAGUCCGGUAUUUGCGGCCAUGUUUGUUCAUCAACCAAUCGAGAAGGUUUCAUCUCAAAUAGAAAUUCAAGAUAUUGAACCGGAUGUGUUCCACGAAGUCCUUCGUUUCAUCUACACUGGCCGUGUGCCUAUAGCAGUGAUGGAAAAAAUGGCAGCUAGACUUUUAGCCGCUGCAGAUAAGUAUCUUCUUGAUCAAUUGAUAAAAGAAUGCGGAAAUCAAUUAAUUCACCGGAUGUCUGCUGACAAUUGUUUGGAAUUGCUUUUGCUAACCGAUCAGUACCAUCCAGCGGCGGAUUUAAAGAAGAAUGCUCUCGACUUCUUCCGUCGUUUACCUCAUGAAGUAAUGGCGACGGAUGGUUGGAAACGGGCCAAAGAGGAUCAUCCGGAGCAAUGCUGUAACAUUCUAGAAAUGUUAGUCAAUCCGCAUGCUUGACAUCAUUUCAUUCUUAAUUGCCCUUGUUUUUGAAACUCAAUUAUGAAAUCAAUAGAUGGUUUCGUUUUAAUCUUGUACUAGUCUAUACAUAUACAAAUAAUAAGGCAAUAGUAAAAUAAAAGAGCUGGGUGUUGGAACUGGGUCAUGGCUCGAUUAUCGGCUUGCCUAUUUAGGCCCAUCUCCUGAAGCAUAUCUUGAUUGAAGCAUGCCAUUUCAUUUACACAAAUUCGCUAAAACCUAAAUCAGUGGCGAAAGAGCAUCUCCGGCCUUUGAGAUAUUCAUCAUCACGACAUCGUCCUACUAAUGGUAUUACGCAACAUGAAUCCUCCAUAAAAGAGUUUCAAGGAAAAAAGAAAGUGACCGCACCUGCACAGCUCUUAUUGAUAAACAACUAAAUCUUCCUUAAAAUUUCCCACGGUGAUUAUUGCUCCAAACAAACCCGAUGGAUUGUCUUCCCCACUUUCACCUAUCAGCGAGACAGACACUAUCCUUCUUGCCCUUUCUUUGCAAUGCGAUUCGUACGAUCCUCUAACGUGCGGUUGCUACAAGACAUGACUCACGACCAAAAGCAUUUUUGCCAUUAAUGAGCCAAUCGGAAAUGAACGCGGAAACUAUGCCUAUUCAUGAUCGCAAUAGGCGAAUUAAUCGUCUACUUUCUUACCCAAUAUCCGAUUUCUUCACAAAGCCUUUCUAUAAAAAAAAAAGAAAAGAUUGGCUGUGAUUUGAGAUUUAUCGGCUGCUCAUUAACAUUGUUGUUUUGCGUAGGCUCGCAUGACGCAACAGGUUUUACGUGCGGGAUUUCCAUAUUGCCAUUUUUUAUAUACAACUGGAAUGGCGCCGCCUCCUUUUGCUGCCUCUAUCACUGUAUCUAUCGAUCGAGACGUAUAUAUAUGCAUCCCAUUAACGAAGCUCCCGAAAUAUUUAAAAAAAAAGGCUUCACUAUUCAACACGAUGUCGAUACUGAAGGUUGUCUCCGUUUGUCUCGUGAUUUUGCUAGUCUGUGGCCCUCCCGCACUUGCAGGACCUCUGGCGGCUUCAGAUGAUUUGAUGGAUUCCGCAUCAUCCAGUUUGACUUGGUCACGACGAGGUGUUAUUCCCGUUCGUCCCAAAACACGAAGGCCUAACGUCAAUAAACAAGGAAAUCAAAGAUUUUUUGGAGGGGCUUACAUGCCUGGCUACGGCGCAUUCAGGGGUUAGGCAACCUGAAGUUUAAUGCAUUAUUCAUAAUUGACCCUCAGCAUCGUCUUAUCGAGGAAAAACUCAUCUCUUUUUUGGAAGCUUUUCAAUGUUGAACGUAUUUACGCUAAUUUUAACUAUUUCAAAUGAAAAAUAAAAAACAAUUCAUUGAAAAAUCCAGUAUUUAUUCAAUUUGGGAAAUGAAAUCGAAAUUUAUUGAUUAAUCAGGGCAAGAGAGGCCAGCAGAGCUUCGACACUUUCUUUCAAGAUGAUGUCUGUGCCAUUGUGUAAUGUACUUUGUUCUUCGUUAACCAUCAGUGGAUAGCUUUGAACUGCAAGAAAACAACAAAUGAGUUUAGGUUUCUCAAACCUCUUGUCUAGACGAGAACAAGAAAUUAUAAAUUCUAGGAGCGGAAGAUGGAGGUGAAGAUUAUUUGACAUCUGAUGCUGUGGUAAAAAAAAACAAAACAAAUAAAAAUGUGAUUGUGUUGCGGUGCAUAGCAAUAACCAAUAAGUAACCGCAAUCAACUAAACUGUUAACGAUGCAGGUUUACAAUCAAUCAAAAAAAUUUGGAGAAAACCACAUCCUCUACAGUUGAAUUUCAUAGCCAACUGAUUUGGGUUUCCUUUUAAACUAAACGAUCUUCAUCAUUUUCUAAUGCUCAUUGUUUCAGUACAGCGACUGUGUUCGACAACAGCAGCCGUGCACGGUCAUUUUAAAAUGCGAGGUUAUUUGGCAUUUGUCUCGGUCCUGGUGGCUACAGUUACCAGUUCACUGAAUGCAACACAUACCAGCUCCCCACAACAACAACAAACUUCUAUUACCAAGAGUCAAUGGGCCUCUUUGAACCCAGUGGCUACAGUUACCAGUUCACCGAAUGCAGGCUCCCCACAACAACAACAAGCUUCUAUUACCAAGAGUCAAUGGGCCUCUUUGAACCCAGUGUACACCGGUGAUGCAGAAAAACUAGAAAAUAUUCAGAAACAAUGGGAGAAAUUCUAUGAUUACCUUCCUUGGCUGAAAGGACCUGCUGGUCCGCCAGGAAAAGAUGGUAAAAAGGGAGCUAAAGGUGAUCCAGGAAUUCCUGGUAUUGCUGGACCUCCGGGACCACGUGGCUUUCCGGGACUACGUGGACCUUCAGGCACUACGUUGAAAAUUGGAUAAAGGGGUUGAAAUAAAAAAGAUUGGGACAGAAAACUCUUCUGACAUCCACAAUCAAAUAGCAUCACGUCUGACAUUUUAUGACCAUUAAAAAAAAAUACUAACAAUAAACGAGCAAAAAUAAA